rnacentral:rRNA from 1 species
AGAGUUUGAUCCUGGCUCAGGAUGAACGCUGGCGGCGUGCUUAACACAUGCAAGUCGAACGAACCUUCGGGUUAGUGGCGGACGGGUGAGUAACGCGUGGGAACCUGCCCUCAGGAGGGGGAUAACGGUUGGAAACGGCCGCUAAUACCCCAUAUGCCGAGAGGUGAAAUGAAUUUCGCCUGAGGAUGGGCCCGCGUCUGAUUAGCUAGUUGGUGGGGUAAGAGCCUACCAAGGCGACGAUCAGUAGCUGGUCUGAGAGGAUGAUCAGCCACACUGGGACUGAGACACGGCCCAGACUCCUACGGGAGGCAGCAGUGGGGAAUUUUCCGCAAUGGGCGAAAGCCUGACGGAGCAACGCCGCGUGAGGGAUGAAGGCCUCUGGGCUGUAAACCUCUUUUCUCAAGGAAGAAGACCUGACGGUACCUGAGGAAUAAGCCACGGCUAAUUCCGUGCCAGCAGCCGCGGUAAUACGGGAGUGGCAAGCGUUAUCCGGAAUUAUUGGGCGUAAAGCGUCCGCAGGUGGCCCUGUAAGUCUGUCGUUAAAGCGUGGAGCUUAACUCCAUUUAAGCGAUGGAAACUACAGGGCUAGAGUGUGGUAGGGGCAGAGGGAAUUCCCGGUGUAGCGGUGAAAUGCGUAGAUAUCGGGAAGAACACCAGUGGCGAAGGCGCUCUGCUGGGCCAUCACUGACACUCAUGGACGAAAGCCAGGGGAGCGAAAGGGAUUAGAUACCCCUGUAGUCCUGGCCGUAAACGAUGAACACUAGGUGUCGGGGGAAUCGACCCCCUCGGUGUCGUAGCCAACGCGUUAAGUGUUCCGCCUGGGGAGUACGCACGCAAGUGUGAAACUCAAAGGAAUUGACGGGGGCCCGCACAAGCGGUGGAGUAUGUGGUUUAAUUCGAUGCAACGCGAAGAACCUUACCAGGGUUUGACAUCCUGCGAAUCCCUUGGAAACGAGGGAGUGCCUUCGGGAGCGCAGAGACAGGUGGUGCAUGGCUGUCGUCAGCUCGUGUCGUGAGAUGUUGGGUUAAGUCCCGCAACGAGCGCAACCCACGUCGUUAGUUGCCAGCAUUCAGUUGGGCACUCUAGCGAGACCGCCGGUGAUAAACCGGAGGAAGGUGUGGAUGACGUCAAGUCAUCAUGCCCCUUACAUCCUGGGCUACACACGUACUACAAUGCUACGGACAAAGGGCAGCGAUCCCGCGAGGGCUAGCAAAUCCCAUAAACCGUGGCUCAGUUCAGAUCGUAGGCUGCAACUCGCCUACGUGAAGGAGGAAUCGCUAGUAAUCGCAGGUCAGCAUACUGCGGUGAAUACGUUCCCGGGCCUUGUACACACCGCCCGUCACACCAUGGAAGUUGGCCACGCCCGAAGUCGUUACUCCAACCCUUGUGGAGGAGGACGCCGAAGGUGGGGCUGAUGACUGGGGUGAAGUCGAAACAAGGUAGCCGUACCGGAAGGUGCGGCUG